AGCAUCUUAGAUCAGCGGAAGAUCGCCGGGCUCAUAACCCGGAGGCCAGUGGAUCGAAACCACUAGAUGCUA
rfam:Cyphellophora europaea CBS 101466 unplaced genomic scaffold supercont1.6, whole genome shotgun sequence.